rnacentral:rRNA from 1 species
GAUGAACGCUGGCGGCGUGCCUAAUACAUGCAAGUCGAGCGAAUGGAUUAAGAGCUUGCUCUUAUGAAGUUAGCGGCGGACGGGUGAGUAACACGUGGGUAACCUGCCCAUAAGACUGGGAUAACUCCGGGAAACCGGGGCUAAUACCGGAUAACAUUUUGAACCGCAUGGUUCGAAAUUGAAAGGCGGCUUCGGCUGUCACUUAUGGAUGGACCCGCGUCGCAUUAGCUAGUUGGUGAGGUAACGGCGCACCAAGGCAACGAUGCGUCGCCGACCUGGGAGGGUGGUCGGCCACACUGGGACUGGAACACGGCCCAGACUCCUACGGGAGGCAGCAGUAGGGAAUCUUCCGCAAUGGACGAAAGUCUGACGGAGCAACGCCGCGUGAGUGAUGAAGGCUUUCGGGUCGUAAAACUCUGUUGUUAGGGAAGAACAAGUGCUAGUUGAAUAAGCUGGCACCUUGACGGUACCUAACCAGAAAGCCACGGCUAACUACGUGCCAGCCGCCGCGGUAA